rnacentral:rRNA from 1 species
AGCGAACGCUGGCGGCAGGCCUAACACAUGCAAGUCGAACGGAUCCUUCGGGAUUAGUGGCGGACGGGUGAGUAACACGUGGGAACGUGCCCUUUGGUUCGGAACAACUCAGGGAAACUUGAGCUAAUACCGGAUGUGCCCUUCGGGGGAAAGAUUUAUCGCCAUUGGAGCGGCCCGCGUCUGAUUAGCUAGUUGGUGAGGUAAAGGCUCACCAAGGCGACGAUCAGUAGCUGGUCUGAGAGGAUGAUCAGCCACAUUGGGACUGAGACACGGCCCAAACUCCUACGGGAGGCAGCAGUGGGGAAUCUUGCGCAAUGGGCGAAAGCCUGACGCAGCCAUGCCGCAUGAAUGAUGAAGGUCUUAGGAUUGUAAAAUUCUUUCACCGGGGACGAUAAUGACGGUACCCGGAGAAGAAGCCCCGGCUAACUUCGUGCCAGCAGCCGCCGUAA